rnacentral:lncRNA from 1 species
UUGUUCACUGAUAUUUCAACCGUUACUUUUUUGACUGGUUUGACCUCGCUAGACCGAAUCAUCAUAACAUAUUGUGAGGCUUCUUGGGUUCCCCCCUGUAUACUAUCUCGAUCAUGUUCGUUUCCUAAUGAGUUGGCAAUGAGUUCUAGUUGAUGUUGGGUGCCUCUAGAGUUUGGACUUCAAUUCGGUUUGUGUCAAUGAGCUCCUGGAUGGCAUUUUUCAAGUGACAACACCAUGCCCCGGAGUACCAGAACAAUAUUCACAGCUCACAGAGUAACCAAGAUUCUUUGGAUGAGGGUUUGGCAAUUUCGAUUCAAUUGGCCCCAGCAUAUCCAACUGCGUCAAUCUAUGGAAUAAACUGGUAUAAGACUCCCCAAUGGGUUGAAGGUUUUCUUCCGCUGCAACCUCUCAUCUUUGAAUGCUGGAUUGGGCCGAAAACCUAGGCCGGCAUGGUUUUGGUUGGAUCGUAGGGGUGGGUAAGCAUUUUUUGGAGCUGGGUAGGUGUUUUGUGGGGCUGGGGUACGCCAUUUUGCAUAGGUAGGAGGUUAAGUAUAUGUCUGGGCAUGGUGGACAGAAAUAUGAGGGCCUGGUAAUGGGAAGUAUUGUUGGAGUGAAUUACAUGGGGUUUGGUUGUAGGUUCGGUGAGGGGGUCGAGGCUGGGUAUAAUGGUGUGACGGGCCCCUCGAUCCAAACCAUGAUCCUGAAUCAACCAUUGCCACAUCUUCUUUCUUCUUCUUUCCGAUCACUCCUCCAGUACCAUUUUGAAUGGCUUGGGUAGUCGCAUUGAUGGUCGAGUAGCUCAUAAAUUUUCUUGAUUUAAGCCCUUCUUCCACCAUGCCACCCAUCUUUACUACUUCUUUGAAAGUCUUGCAUAUGGCCGAAGUAAGUAGGCUCCACAACCUGUAGAAAGUACUCCACCAUUUCGCUCUCCUCCAUCGGGGGGUUAACGUUUGCUGCUUGUUCUCUCCAUCGAAAACCAUCUUCUCUGAAACUUUCACUAGGCUUCUUCUCAAGCUUAGUCAAAGACAAACGAUCUAGAACAAUCUCGAUGUUGUACUGGAAAUAACGAGCGAAUGCUUGGGCCAAAUCAUCCUAGGUAUACCAUCUACUGUGAUCUUAACGAGUGUACUACUAUAAUGCUGUGCCACUCAAACUUGGCAAAAGUAUGCCAUUAACAACUCAUUUUUCCCACCGGCUCCUCUCAUUUUGCUACAAAAUCCCCUUAAGUGGGCCACGGGUCUCUGUGCCCGUCAUACAAGUCGAACUUGGGCAUUUUGAAUCCAGCAGGUAACUGGACAUUAGGGAACAGACACAGAUCUUUGUAGGCUACACUCACUUGGCUUCCCAACCCCUGCAUGUUGAUGAGCGACUGUUCCAAGCUUCUCACCUUCCUGAAAAUCUCCUCAUGUUCCGUGUUCUUGGGUGGUUUCUCAGUUUCAACAUGAGGCUCAAAGUGAGGAGUGUAGGAGUAAGGAUCUGGAAUUUUGAAAGUGGGUUCCGGGCAUAGUAUUGGGUAUCUAGGGCUUGGAAUGCGGGUUUACUAGAGUGUAGGAGUGUAGGAGUGUAGGAGUAAGGAUCUGGAAUUUUGAAAGUGGUUCCGGGCAUAGUAUUGGGUAUCUAGGGCUUGGAAUGCGGGUUUACUAGAGUGUAGGAGUGUAGGAGUGUAGGAGUAAGGAUCUGGAAUUUUGAAAGUGGGUUCCGGGCAAAGUAUUGGGUAUCUAGGGCUUGGAAUGCGGGUUCACUAGAGGAUCGGUGGAGGGUAGCUUGUGAAGGAGGUACAAAAAUAGGAGUAGAUGUCGAAGCAGGGUACGAGGUUGUUUUGGCUGGUGGAGCAUGAAAAUUUUGGGCCGAAGUGUCAGGUAGUUGUGGUAAGGGUAAAGCCCAGUGCGUGUUGUGGGGAAAGGUCAAUGGCAUUAGGCAUCUAGGAUUAGGAGAGUGGUGGAAUGAAAGCAGGGUUUACUGUGUAGUUGGUAAGGAACGAGGGUGGAGGGUGUCCCUUGAUCCAAGCUUGAUACAUUUCCGCCAUCUGAUGUUUCAACCUUCUGACCUCAUCUUGCAGUUCCGAUUCUGACUCAACAAUUUCCCUUGGUGGGUCUACAACUUCUGUGUCUGUUUCUUUGCUGGCCAUGACUGUUUGGCGCUUUGACCUGGUUUUGUAUGGAUGACUUGCCAGGAUGCCAACAAACUAACCACCUUCCUAAAGUUGGAAUAAAUAUAACAAGGGAAAACAACACAAAAACCACCAUGUUAGCGUUAGGGCAUUUAUCAGAUAAUAAUAUCACAUUACGUGCAAUGCACCUAACAACAAUUAGCGGUUCUAAAAUGGCUUUGAGGGUCGCAGGGUCAUAUGGAAGCAUCCUAAUUUGCUCAUUUCAAUCCUUGUUUCUCUUCCUUUUCUAUCACCUCUUAUCAUUCUCUUCUCACUCUCGUCUUUUGGCUUAUCACUCUUUUUUUUUUUACCAAAAAUGGUUUGAUUGAACCCGAUAUUGGUUGCCUACAUAUUAUGUCCCUCAUGAAUGAGACCAAGCGUAGUUCUGGAAAAGUGAUGGAAAAUAAACUAAAAAUAAAACUUUUUUGGGAUUUUUCAUUUAAAAACUUUUCGAUAUUAAAAUACAAUGGGAAGUACGAUAAUGAAAGACCUGACAGACUCAACUACACUACGACAGACUCAGACACUACCUAAAGGACUCAGUACUCCUAGACAAGACAGGAAAUUAAAAGACAACAUAAGAAAAUCUCAAAACACCUAAAUAGAAUGACUCCUUAAGCUGCUCCUGAAUGCGACAGUCUUGGCUGGGACGGGUCUGAUGAAGAUCCGGAUGGCCCUGUCAAUCCUGUCGAAUCUAAGCUCUGUAUUAUACCCUGCAAAGACAUCUCAAAACUGGGAAUGAGAAUCCUGGAAUGCGCGUUUGCAUCUAGAAGGCUGACUCUAGUAAGGUACUCAUGGUGUUGUCCCAUGUUCUCUACCAACCCUGCCAACUGUGAUCUCAAUGACUGAAGUGUAGCUCAAACCCCAACCCUUUCUGCUGCAUGGGCCUCUUCUGCCUGGAUAAAUCGAUCCAUCAACUGUCUAAGCAAUAUCCGUGAGGUGGCCUCCUCGUCAAAUACUCCUCUAACAUGUUG